AAGGUACACAAAAUAAAUUAUCCAUCUAAUACAUCUGGGAAACUGAAAAGCAGGAUCUUGUUCUUAGAAAGAAAGAGAGAAGCAGCUAGGAAUUGUGAGAACCUUCUUUCUGUCCGAAGUAAAACAAUGCUAGAGGUCACCUAGUCCAGCUUCCUCAUUUUACAGAUAAAGUAACUAAGGUUCAGAAAGGUCACUUGUCAGUCAGUAGCAAACUAGAAUUUGAACUGUGAUUUUUUUUUUUUACUUCCAACAGGUAGAACUUAGUCUACAAUAAAUUCCUUCUGUUUAAAAAGAAUAGAAAACCCAACAAAUCAUCUCUAGAAAUUUCAAGAGUUUAGUGUACUGAACUUAAUGAAUAGGCCCGCAAACACUCUUUCAAAGUUGCAGGUGACCAAAUAUAUCAAAGACAAAAUAAGGAAAUUUUAGAAUUUUAGUAGAAAAAUUAAAUUAGAUUUCCAAUUGAAAUGACAGCAUUUACUACAAUUUUCACAACAAACCCAAUAUUAGUUUUUUUCCAAAACAAAAAAAUUUCCUUGAAAAUUUACCAACUCAAUUUUCUGAAUUUUUCUUGUGAUAAAGUUAAAGAAAUUAUAAUCUGCAUUAAUCUGGGGAAGUUUGUGGAACUGAUCUUCAAAGUUCUCAUUUCCUUAAGCUUAUAUUUAAGACUUCCCAUUGGGGAUGAUCUAGGUUUCUUUUAGGAGGGCAGUUGCGUUCUCAGUAAUUCUCCAGUUCCAUAAAAGCAAAACUGAUUAUGGAAAAUCAUGAUCAUGGUGCUGACACAUCAGCUAAGGAUGAAUUUAUGCUGAACCUAGAAUGGUGAGAAGCCUUAGUUGGGGAAACAGAAUUCACUAGGCCUAGGUAAAGAUUAACUCUACUUUGGUCCUACUACCAAUUCAACAAGUGACCACAAGCAAAUCAUAAGACCACACCAGUACAGACUUUUAGAACAGCAAGAGAUUUUCUACACCAUGUAGUUCAGAUAUUUGAGUUAAGAUGAAAGGAUAUUGUUAGAGCAUCUCAAAAAUCAGUGCUUGCACAGAUAAGGUGCUUAAUAAACAUUUGCUGAAACAAAGGUCAAGAGAAUUCUUUGAGGUUGGAGCUAUGAACAUAUAGCUUUCAAGCAUUUUGACAAAUAAUUAAUUUGGUUUAAAAUGGUCAAAAUGGUCUAAUCAAAAAAUAAUUUGAUAAAUUUUUUUUCUGCCACCCACUAGGAUCUGUUUUGGCAUCUAUCAAAUCCCA
rnacentral:lncRNA from 1 species